rnacentral:rRNA from 1 species
CUACGGGGUGCUGCAGUGGGGAAUCUUGGACAAUGGGCGCAAGCCUGAUCCAGCCAUGCCGCGUGAGUGAUGAAGGCCUUAGGGUCGUAAAGCUCUUUCGCCAGAGAUGAUAAUGACAGUAUCUGGUAAAGAAACCCCGGCUAACUCCGUGCCAGCAGCCGCGGUAAUACGGAGGGGGUUAGCGUUGUUCGGAAUUACUGGGCGUAAAGCGCGCGUAGGCGGACUAGUCAAUCAGGGGUGAAAUCCCGGGGCUCAACCCCGGAACUGCCUUUGAUACUGCUAGUCUAGAGUUCGAGGGAGGUGAGUGGAAUUCCGAGUGUAGAGGUGAAAUUCGUAGAUAUUCGGAGGAACACCAGUGGCGAAGGCGGCUCACUGGCUCGAUACUGACGCUGAGGUGCGAAAGUGUGGGGAGCAAACAGGAUUAGAUACCCGAGUAGUC